AAACAAUCGACCACAAUUUUAACCCCUUGUUGACUGAUUGGCUUUUGAAUUAUUGGACUUGUACUGCUGUGCAUUCUUUUAGCUAGGGGAAGGAGCUCAGUCAGGAGAAAGUCUUGGACGGGGCUUCGAUGAGACCACACCUGGAGCACCGUGCGCAGCUUUGAUCUCCAUCCUGAGGAGGAAGACAGGCUGCAGAGGCAGCACAGCCCAGGUUCACUGGGAUAAUGAGGCUGUCCUACAGGAAGGCAGUGAGUGGGAUGGUCCUAGACUCAACUAGAGUUGAGCAGAACAAGAGGCCCUCAUUGAGACUCACAGAAGGCACUGGCAGGCUGAUGCUGAGGAGCUGCUUCCCCUCGCUUGGAGACUUGCAAACCAGGAGGCAUGGACUCCGGAUAACUUGGGACUGAGAUUACUAGAGGAAGCCACAGUGCAGGGAAAGAGGCAGCUCUUCUUGAAUGGGCGAAUAGUUGGAACCCCAAAUGACUCAAAACUGGAUUGGAUGGGUGUCAGGUGCCUAGCUGUCUGCUGCCGAACCAGGGAACACAUGUUCCAGAGAAACCAAAGAGCAGGAAGAAGCC